AUUGAACGCUGGCGGCAGGCUUAACACAUGCAAGUCGAGCGAGCGGCGGACGGGUGAGUAAUGUCUGGGAAACUGCCUGAUGGAGGGGGAUAACUACUGGAAACGGUCGCUAAUACCGCAUACCAUCAGAUGUGCCCAGAUGGGAUUAGCUAGUAGGGGGGGUAAUGGCUCACCUAGGCGACGAUCCCUAGCUGGUCUGAGAGGAUGACCAGCCACACUGGAACUGAGACACGGUCCAGACUCCUACGGGAGGCAGCAGUGGGGAAUAUUGGACAAUGGGCGCAAGCCUGAUGCAGCCAUGCCGCGUGUGUGAAGAAGGCCUUCGGGUUGUAAAGCACUUUAAGUGGGGAGGCGUUACUCGCAGAAGAAGCACCGGCUAACUCCGUGCCAGCAGCCGCGGUAAUUC
rnacentral:rRNA from 1 species